rnacentral:rRNA from 1 species
GACGAACGCUGGCGGCGUGCUUAACACAUGCAAGUCGAACGGAAAGGCCUCUUUCGGGGGGUACUCGAGUGGCGAACGGGUGAGUAACACGUGAGUAACCUGCCCUUGACUUUGGGAUAACUUCAGGAAACUGGGGCUAAUACCGGAUAGGAGCUCCUGCUGCAUGGUGGGGGUUGGAAAGUUUCGGCGGUUGGGGAUGGACUCGCGGCUUAUCAGCUUGUUGGUGGGGUAGUGGCUUACCAAGGCUUUGACGGGUAGCCGGCCUGAGAGGGUGACCGGCCACAUUGGGACUGAGAUACGGCCCAGACUCCUACGGGGGGCAGCAGUGGGGAAUAUUGCACAAUGGGUGGAAGCCUGAUGCAGCAACGCCGUGGGCGGGAUGACGGCCUUCGGGUUGUAAACCGCUUUCGCUCAUGACGAAGCUUUGUGUGACGGUAGUGGGUAAAGAAGCACCGGCUAACUACGUG